GUAUUAUAGAAUAGCGGAAUUGUAGAAUAGAACUGAAUGAAGGAAUUAAGGAAUUGAAGAGGAUAGUGGAUCAGCUCAUUAUUAAUGAACUUAAACCCAAGACAUAUCGCGAACGUUGACCAAACAGCGCGUUAACGAGAAUAAUAAACGUCGAAACGCGUUCUCAAGCGUUCCAUCGGUGCCACUUUCCAUUCAUUCGACCGAGAGAGGAUCCGUCGGUCGCAGAAUAGAGAUAGUUACGGCUCAGUGGUGUAUUUUCCGUGCCAUAUUUUCCUCGCGAAGCUUUCAUUAAGGUAAUGGAGGGAUGCAAAAAUGAUUUCCACCGCGAGAAAAUAGAGCACGGUUGAAUGUAAGAUGAAACGUUCGUGGUGGUGGAAUGGUAAGAGGCUGCGUGGAAUGGGAGAAAACGGGGGUAGUUUGUGUGUUGAACAGAAUGAAAGCGCGUGAACGAAAGGAAAUAAACGGGAUAAAAAAGAACACAAAAAAAAGGAGGCGAACUAUGAAUAAAAUGGCCGAUGCGGGGAACGGCCUAGCGAGAAACGCAAUUGACGCCGUGACAAAAGCGGGAAUUCCCUGGUGUCCUACUGCUGCUACUCGAUAAAAACGUACACGCGCUCUCGUACAGAAAGAACAGGAUACUAUUGAAAAAUAUAAAAGGCAGAACUUUUGGAACUUUGUGAAUUAAUAACCUUGAAAGUUUGAGAGUACGAAA